AAUUCCUACGGGGCGCAGCAGUAGGGAAUCUUCCACAAUGGACGAAAGUCUGAUGGAGCAACGCCGCGUGAGUGAAGAAGGGUUUCGGCUCGUAAAGCUCUGUUGGUAGUGAAGAAAGAUAGAGGUAGUAACUGGCCUUUAUUUGACGGUAAUUACUUAGAAAGUCACGGCUAACUACGUGCCAGCAGCCGCGGUAAUACGUAGGUGGCAAGCGUUGUCCGGAUUUAUUGGGCGUAAAGCGAGUGCAGGCGGGUCAAUAAGUCUGAUGUGAAAGACCUUGGCUCAACCGGAGAAUUGGA
rnacentral:rRNA from 1 species